AUUGAACGCUGGCGGCAGGCCUAACACGUGCAAGUCGAGCGGAUGAAGGGAGCUUGCUCCUGGAUUCAGCGGCGGACGGGUGAGUAAUGCCUAGGAAUCUGCCUGGUAGUGGGGGAUAACGUCCGGAAACGGGCGCUAAUACCGCAUACGUCCUGAGGGAGAAAGUGGGGGAUCUUCGGACCUCACGCUAUCAGAUGAGCCUAGGUCGGAUUAGCUAGUUGGUGGGGUAAGGGCCUACCAAGGCGACGAUCCGUAACUGGUCUGAGAGGAUGAUCAGUCACACUGGAACUGAGACACGGUCCAGACUCCUACGGGAGGCAGCAGUGGGGAAUAUUGGACAAUGGGCGAAAGCCUGAUCCAGCCAUGCCGCGUGUGUGAAGAAGGUCUUCGGAUUGUAAAGCACUUUAAGUUGGGAGGAAGGGCAGUAAGUUAAUACCUUGCUGUUUUGACGUUACCAACAGAAUAAGCACCGGCUAACUUCGUG
rnacentral:rRNA from 1 species